CUAGAAUGAGAGUCCAGGGCCUGGGUUGACUGCCCUGGGCACACCUGACUCUUGAUGGGGUUGCCAAAAUGUAGCUUGGCAUUUACAAAAAUUCUUUCCAAAGAUUGCAUCAAAGUCCAAAAGAAUUAUGUACAAUUUCAUUUCUGAUGUCUCUGGCUGUGCUUUCGAAAGGGCAGGAAGAGCCAUGGAAAGAGGCUGAAAGGCCCCUCUGGGAAUUCUCAAAUCUCUUUUCAUAGCAGUAACUUGGACCUAGACAGCAAAGCCUGAAAGACACAGGUAGAAGGAUCGCGAGGCGCAGCCCUCCCUUCUGAUCAGCACAGCCAGCCAACAGUAGUAGCUGAAAAGCGAGAGCACACUGAUGAAGAACACUGCGGGCACAAAGAAAAGGAAAAGUAUGUGGAGCUUUGCUGUGUAUCUCUUAGUUCAUUCUACUCACUAGAACGUGGCGUUCUCAGGAAUUGACGUCCUCCAGGCCCCCAGAUGAGGGUAGUGAGCACCCUGAGAGCCAGCUGGACUCCCCUCUUGGUGUGUUACUGCACAGCCACAGCCUCUGGGUAGGGAGUUGUCCUGCACUUCUGGAAUCAUCUUUUUGGUCAUGGUGGCUACUGCUGUACUGUCCUUCUGAGGUCAGUGAGAUAGGGUGUUCACAGCCUCACUUGAAAGGAAACAAGAGACUUGUCAGGUUGAUGGAGAGAACAAGCUGUUCGACAGUGCGCAAACCAUAUCCUGGGCUUGUGGUUAGAACAUCCUGCAGCAAAGAGGUAGAAGAGCCAAGGGAGGCAUCCCCACAUCUGAGGAAGCCCAGAAACCCAUGAAUAGCGUCCUUGGGCUGACCUAUGCUCAUUACAAUAGUAGCAAACACAACUCUGAGAGGGAAGUUAAGAUGCUAAUGAGACGUAAGAUGUGUGUGCUGAUAUGUACAACCACAGUGCAUGCACGUUCAAGAGACCACAGAACAUGCUUAAAACAAUACCCCUUCCCACCUAUUCAUGAAUAAUCAUGUAAGACUCCCGUGAGGGGAGGGUACUGUCUCUCUUUUGAGCAGCUGCUCUGAUCAGCUGUCAGAGUGUACUUUCACUUUGCAAUAAAUUCUCU
rnacentral:lncRNA from 1 species